rnacentral:lncRNA from 1 species
GAUUUAUUUUCUCCCUAUAGAACUCGAACAGACAGAAAAUAAAACGUAGAGAGGGAGAAAAUGGAAAGAGAAGAAAAGGAAAGAAAGAAGAAGAAGAAGUGGGUUUCAAUAUUGGGUUCUUCAUUUCUUCAAUUUUUCCAUUGACUUAGAAAGGUAAAUGUAAGUAUGUUGAAUUAUUUUUUUGAGUUUAUGGAAAAAUUUCUCAAAUUUAAGGUUUAGCAAAAAUUAAUGAUUAUUGAUAUAUGUUUGAGGUAUUAAACAACAACAAUAAUAUUAGUGUUGAAAGGAAGGAAAGGAGAAAUGGGUUUGUAAAUUAGAGUUUCAAUCUUUAAUUCACUGUGUUUAUACUUGAUUUAUGAGGACUUAGAGUGGUAAAAGGAUUUUAGGUUAGAUUUUGGUAUUUAUAAUCAAUUCUUUCCAAACAGGGGCUGGGUAUCUAUAGAAAGCAGUUGUUGUCAUAGUAGGGGCCCUAAGGCGGGAAUUGUACUAAAGUAGUGUUUUCACGGUGACAGGAAUCUUUACUGGCAGGAAGAUAAGGAGGGACUCUCUUUUUCCCAUUUUCUUGAAAAGAUAUUAUGCUGAGUUGGAAUCCUAUUCUAACUAAGGAUUCUUGGGCAGCUCUUUGGAGAAGGACUUAGCCCCCCGUGAGGUUGGUAAUAGUAUACCCUCGUCAAAAGUUCUGUUAGCUGACAUUUUGAAGUACAAUCUUUAGGAAAAAACUAUUGGACGUAUGACACUAGAAAGCAAAGCGCUCCCAAUGAGUGAUCUAGAGCUCGUGUAUACAAGAUGAAAGGUCUUUCGUCGCAAAAUUCAUGUGCAGGUUGCUAUUUUCGAAAUUAAUCCCAGAAAAUGCUAUUUCUGUCAUUGGAUUGGUGACACUUUUCAGUACAUAGAAAUUCGUGCCAAUCAAUACUCUGGGAUUUUAGUGUUAUUUUUGUCAAACCUUUGUUUUCUCAGGUUUUAUAAGUUUGAAUAAAACUAAAUGAUAAAUAUUGGAGUCUAGGUAUCGGAAUAGCUCAUGUAGAGGUUGUAUGUGUAUGAGGUAGUGAUUUUAAGAAAGUAUUGAGUAAUCUAACGGAUUUGAUUAUAUGCAAUGUUUGAUUGCUAAUAAUCAAAGAGAAAAUAAAUUAGGAAAAUAGAGAUACAAGAAUAAAUAUUAGAAGUUGAGGAAUAAUACGGUGGAUUUACAUUAAUUUAAUUGUCAUGUUUUAAUUUGAGUAAUUAUAACAUUAUUUUAGAUAGUGACUUGAAAGCUUGGAAAGUCUCUUCAAUUUAAUGAGAUGUUUAUCCAUAGAUCUGUG